rnacentral:rRNA from 1 species
UACGUAGGUGGCAAGCGUUGUCCGGAUUUACUGGGCGUAAAGAGCGCGCAGGCGGUCGUUCAAGUCGCGUGUGAAAGCCCCCGGCUCAACUGGGGAGGGUCACGCGAUACUGAUCGACUGGAAGGCAGGAGAGGGUAGUGGAAUUCCCGGUGUAGUGGUGAAAUGACGUAGAUAUCGGGAGGAACACCAGUGGCGAAGGCGACUACCUGGCCUGUUCUUGACGCUGAGGCGCGAAAGCUAGGGGAGCAACGGG